rnacentral:rRNA from 1 species
UACGAAGGUGGCAAGCGUUACUCGGAAUUACUAGGCGUAAAGGGCAGGUAGGUGGUUUUGUAAGUCUGUUGUGAAAGCUCCCGGCUUAACUGGGAGAGGUCAACGGAUACUGCAGAACUUGAGUAUGGGAGAGGUUACUGGAAUUCCCGGUGUAGCGGUGAAAUGCGCAGAGAUCGGGAGGAACACCAAUGGCGAAAGCAGGUAACUGGACCAUUACUGACACUCAGCUGCGAAAGCUAGGGGAGCAAACAGG